GACAUUGCGAUCGAAGCCUCCAAAUAAACGCAUCCGGAGAAGAAGUAGCACACGGCUGCUGGCGACUCCAACCUUGAUCGGAUCGGGGAUGGAUCCAGCCGUCCAUUGACCCUUCAAGCCAUGAUCCGACGGCGUUCGAUCGCCGGCUAUCACGGGCACCGAAUCCCCUUCGCCGAUUCCGUUACCCUCAUUCUUGAUGCCGGCGCAAGCCGCGAUCCCGGCUGUCUAAUCCUUCGCCGAUGGUGGAGAAGCCCAUGAUGUGGAGCAGCAGUCUGACUACGGAGGGCUCGUCGUUCUCCGCCGGCGACGCCGACCGGUCACAGAAAAUCCACGUCACUUCUCACCCGUAGCCGGCAAAAACAAAAGUAUGCUGGGGACGGUCAAAAAGUGCUUAAUAGAUGCGGAAGAAAAUGAGACGACAGAGAAGGCUGAUAAUCUGACAAGAAACACAUGGCAGCAUAGGGUUAGGGAACGAUGGAGAUUGUGGAACUUGCUAUUAUGCCUUAUUUUGUUGAUUAUGGUGACCUGGUAGUGGUAGGUUGCAGGGAUGAGCAUUGAUCUGUACAUAUACAUCAAGUUCUUCGUGCUAUUGCAGUUUAUUGGUUUACAGUGUGGCAAAUCACAGAUGAAGUGCAUAUAAUCGGACAAAUUCAGAUAGUUUUCAACAUUGAAAGAUCAUAGGAGCCUUCUUUUUGCUCGUCAAUGGCUGCAACAACCCUUGUGAUUAGAUGGCUGAGAGCCUGACAAUGGAGUUUAUGUUGGAAGAAAAUGUGAAAACAGGGCCAAGUUUUGUGGAUACUGCUCUGGGAAGAAUUAUUCAGGGAACCAAAGUUGUGGCAGAAGAUGAUUGUGAGAAGAUUUUUUUCAUGAACUUUUGGUUCUAUCCUGAUCAGAAACUUAGAAAAUGGCUGGUCCUAUUAGCGAAUUCUUUGCCUCGACUGCAAACUUGCAUUUUUGCAGUGUAAUAAUCUUUCUUAUAAAGUUUCUGAUUAGGAUAAAGUUGUAAUCUUUCUUAUAAACCCUAAACCCUAUAAAGUUGGAAAUUAAACUGCAUGGUCUAUGUGCAACAAUACAAUCUUCAUCGAACAAAAUGUUGCAAUAAGUAUCGAGCUUAUGUUGCAAAUGCAUGUAAUAUAUAAGUAUAUUCUCAUAUAUGUAUAUGCUUAGUUGGAGCACAGAUGUGCUUUACCAUUUAUUGGACUUUGAAUAUUAAAAGGAGGAAAAAGAAAAGUACUACAAUGCAAUAUAGGAAAGUCUUGUUAAAGCCAAUCUUCCUGCUUGGUCCAUGUGUAAAUGACUGAUACUGAUGCUACAAUGUGCCCUGAUAUUUAUUUUAUAGGGUGGAGAAAUUUUGCGUGUGCAAAGAGAUAUGUUAUAUUAUUCAGAAGACUGCAGGUUAAUGUACUGAACUGGUACAAUCAAUUUCAAGGAUCUGUUUGGAUUGUCACAGCUACUCCCUUGAACCAGACACCAUCUGUUGGUUCGCAACCGAUGUGCUCCUGAGCCAUCGAAGAGUAGCCAAAACAAUGUGCAAGCCAAAGUUGGAGUAAUGCUACUUGUCCCAUCAUUUAGGUCACAUUUGUCUUCAACGUUCUAUUGAUGGCCACAGAGCUGACUGGGGACUGUUUGAGACUCGCACAACACAGUGACAUUCUUCUUCUUUUAUUUGACUUGGUUGCUCCCACCUUGAAUGAAGCAGGUGUUGGUGAAGUGUUAUUUGUGACAAAGAUCCAAUGCCAAAGAGUUGACCUCACAGCUACGCGUUCUUUUGGAGGCCCCCGGGCUACCGAACCCUCAUCAAGGAUCCUAUUUGGUCAUUCUGGCAUGCUAAAUACAAGCAGUUCCAUCAUGGUGGACGAGCAGCGUUCCAUGGGUCUUGGAAUAGAAGAGCAGUAUUGGUGUGCCAUCCUUACCAGAACAGGCUUGGGUACUGCAUCUAAGAUUAGAUUGAGCUCAACCAACAAGAGAUCCAUCCACUCAAGAAGCCCUUCUUAGUUCAACACAAAAAAUUUGGGAAUGAUUGGCCUGUCAUCUCAACAUGGACACUUGUACAGGAAAUGCCAUAAAGCUCCCUUGUCCCAAGUUAGGCAAAUGUUCAUAUUCCCAAGAAAGGUGACACCACCGAGUCAUGUGUAAGUUCUCAUCUUUUCUUUUUUUCUUUGUAAUUCUUGAAUAAACAUGGGAUGACC